UACGGGGGGGGCAAGCGUUGUUCGGAAUUACUGGGCGUAAAGGGCUUGUAGGUGGCCAACUAAGUCAGACGUGAAAUCCCUCGGCUUAACCGGGGAACUGCGUCUGAUACUGGAUGGCUGGAGUGUGGGAGAGGGAUGCGGAAUUCCAGGUGUAGCGGUGAAAUGCGUAGAUAUCUGGAGGAAUACCGGUGGCGAAGGCGGCAUCCUGGACCGGCAUUGACGCUGAACAGCGAAAGCUAGGGGAGCAAACGGG
rnacentral:rRNA from 1 species